GCCAGUGUGGUGUAGUGCUUUUAAUGUUGGACUACAACUCUGGAGAUCAGGGUUUGAUUCCCAGCUCAGCCA